AAUGAACGCUGGCGGCAGGCCUAACACAUGCAAGUCGAACGAGGUAGCAAUACCUAGUGGCGGACGGGUGAGUAACACGUGGGAACGUACCCUUUGCUACGGAAUAGCCCUGGGAAACUGGGAGUAAUACCGUAUGAGCCCGAGAGGGGAAAGAUUUAUCGGCAAAGGAUCGGCCCGCGUUGGAUUAGGUAGUUGGUGGGGUAAUGGCCUACCGAGCCGACGAUCCAUAGCUGGUUUGAGAGGAUGAUCAGCCACACUGGGACUGAGACACGGCCCAGACUCCUACGGGAGGCAGCAGUGGGGAAUCUUAGACAAUGGGGGAAACCCUGAUCUAGCCAUGCCGCGUGAUCGAUGAAGGCCUUAGGGUUGUAAAGAUCUUUCAGGUGGGAAGAUAAUGACUGUACCACCAGAAGAAGCCCCGGCUAACUCCGUGCCAGCAGCCGCGGUAAU
rnacentral:rRNA from 1 species